GACGAACGCUGGCGGCGUGCCUAAUACAUGCAAGUCGAACGAAGCUGUUUUAACCGGUGCUUGCACCGACUUAAACAACUGAGUGGCGAACGGGUGAGUAACACGUGGGUAACCUGCCCCAAAGCGGGGGAUAACAUUUGGAAACAGAUGCUAAUACCGCAUAACCACAGAAACCACAUGGUUUCUGUGUCAAAGAUGGUUUCGGCUAUCACUUUGGGAUGGACCCGCGGCGUAUUAGCUAGUUGGUAAGGUAAUGGCUUACCAAGGCAAUGAUACGUAGCCGAACUGAGAGGUUGAUCGGCCACAUUGGGACUGAGACACGGCCCAAACUCCUACGGGAGGCAGUAGUAGGGAAUCUUCCACAAUGGACGAAAGUCUGAUGGAGCAACGCCGCGUGAGUGAAGAAGGUUUUCGGAUCGUAAAACUCUGUUGUCAGAGAAGAACGUGUGUGAGAGUAACUGUUCGUGCAGUGACGGUAUCUGGCCAGAAAGCCACGGCUAACUACGUGCCAGCAGCCGCCGUAA
rnacentral:rRNA from 1 species